rnacentral:rRNA from 1 species
UACAGAGGUCUCAAGCGUUGUUCGGAUUCAUUGGGCGUAAAGGGCGCGUAGGCGGCGGGGUAAGUCACCUGUGAAACCUCUAGGCUUAACCUAGAGCCUGCAGGCGAAACUGCCGUGCUUGAGGGUGGGAGAGGUGCGUGGAAUUCCCGGUGUAGCGGUGAAAUGCGUAGAGAUGUGGAGGAACACCAGUGGCGAAGGCGACUCUUUGGCCUGUAACUGACACUGAGGCGCGAAAGCGUGGGGAGCAAACAGG